rnacentral:lncRNA from 1 species
CAUUAAUACAUUUUUCUACCGUUGGGUGUCACGUCUGACACACCAUGUGAUGGUGUACAGUGCCUACACUUUCAUUUUUCCUCCAAUUGUCCCUCCCACCGACAUAAGAACUCUCUCACCUUUUGGUUGAAACCGACGACAUCCGGCAUAAAUGUUUCCAAACGACCACGAAACCUUCCACACACACAGCCACCGAUUUCAACUGUGGUGACAGUCGCGGCAACGAAGAGUGCGGGAAAAGGGCUCCACGUUGACCGCUUCUUUGCAAUCACUCGCCUGCAAAAAAUCCCCAGUACACAGCUUCUCCACCCAUCGAAAAUGGAGUCUGCAGGAAUACAGGUACUUCCACUUCCUUCGCCUUGUUUCUUGUCCUCAAUUCGUUCAAGCCGCAUUCCAUUUAUUUACAUGGGCAGAAAAGAACUUCAUAAUAAUGACAAAAAAGGACAAAGUUGGCAUUUUGCACAAUUUGAAUUUUAAUGGGAAAAUAAAAUAUUGCAUAGUCCCCACGUCGAUGUGAUGAAAAAAAUACAAUUUGAAAAUUAAUAGAAAACAAACGAGGGCUUAAUAAAUUAUAAAUUUUAACACUUUAUAAUUUAAAUUUUAAAUUAUUCAGAUCACAUUUAAAUUGAUUGAUCAUUAUUCGAACAAAACUCGCAAGUGUACAGAAUUAUUGACAAGCAAUAAUGUGACGAGUUGAUUUAUAGUCCCACGAUGAAUAACUAUUAAUUCUAGAGUACCAGUUUCUACCAAAUUCAAUCUACAUGACACAAAAUAUUUAGAUGUUUUGUAAUUAUUUUAAACUAAAUUAAGAAUACUGUAAAAGAUUGUUUUGUAAAUGAAUGUAUUGAAUUUCAAAAUUCACCUAUUGGUUUCUAUUUCCAAUUCUCGACUUCUGUAAGUUAGUGUUAUUCCGUGUUCGUGACAAUCAAUAAUCCUCUAAUGUCUAAUACUCUUUUUUGAGAUACAUAUUAGACCUAUCCUUAGCACUAUCUAGUUUGAAUUUAUAUGUAAAGCAAGCAUUCAUAUUUUGGAGAGUCAAAUUCACCAUCUAUUCUUAAUUAUCAAUGAUUGCA